AAGGAUUUAGGAUAAUACUAAACCAAGGGCCUUCAAAGCCCUAAAUAAGAGUGAAAAUCUCUUAAUCCUUA
rnacentral:tRNA from 1 species